UCCCUGGUGGCUCAGACAGUAAAGCAUCUGCCUGCAAUGCGGGAGACCCAGGUUCGAUCCCCGGGUUGGGAA
rnacentral:tRNA from 1 species